ACAGUGCUCCACUGAGAUUAUGUCAGAUACCUGCCCUGCGGGAUCCUCAGCACUCAGCACUGGAGAGCGUGGCAGAUGGUGUGAGCUUGGGAGUCAUGCCAGGCUUCACCUCUGAGCUCCGUCCAACCUGUGGCAAAAUCCGGAGUGCUAAAGGUUUGGGGCUGCCCACGUCAGACCGCCUUUUCCGAGGUUUGGCUUGAGAGAAAAAGGAGUGUGAGGGGAAGAGCAGAGGGCUUUAAAAGUAUCCUGACCCUUUCACAGAUGAGAAAAAGAGGACAAGUCGAACCCACUUCUGGGCUGCAGACUGACGUAGACUAUGAGGCUCCAUGUCUCACCACAGCUGAUCUGAUACAGCAGCGGAAAAGGCUCCGCUCAUGCCAACCAGACACUGGAGUCAGGGGAAAGUAUAGAUCUAAGAGUACAUUUAUACGCUAUGUAAUGAGCCAUGCCUCGGUAAUUAAAGUGUAAUACGGUAACAUUUUCCAGCGAUGGUGUGGAGGGUAAACCCGCCUUUUUUUUAAUUGAGAAGCAGAGUUUACCCACUUGACAUAAACCUUAAUGAUGUUAAUUCUUGGUAUAUCAAUUAGCACCAGAAGAUGUAAAGUAUAGAAAGUGGAAAAAGGGUGUGAAGGAAUGAGAUUAAAGUGACUUUUUGUGCAUAAUGGUGGCUGCUUGGUUUGUAAUGAUCACUUUAAGUAGGUAUGGCUCACCUUUUCCUAAUUUCACUAAAAUAACAGAGGUCGUACUCAUACAUUUUAUGCACUGUGGUACAGGAGACUUUCCAUUUGUUAGUGUUCACUUUAUUCAACCGCACAUAAAGUCAUAGGAAAACUCUGGAAAACAUUUUCUGAUUGUAAUCUGUACUUAAUUUAUAUGAAUACCUGACAUGUGUUUCACUCUACUUCAUUAUAGGUCUAACAAUAGAAUCUACUUUUUUUUUUUCAUUUUUUGCUCAUUUUAAAGCAGCUUUUAGGGGAAAUAUGUUAUGAAUAAACCCUAUAAAAGAUACUUUUCGUGCAUAAAUGUGGUUGCUUGUCUUAUAAUGAUCACCUAAAGGACAUCUGGUACACUUUAUUGUGU